rnacentral:rRNA from 1 species
AGUGAACGCUGGCGGUAGGCCUAACACAUGCAAGUCGAACGGCAGCACAGUAAGAGCUUGCUCUUACGGGUGGCGAGUGGCGGACGGGUGAGGAAUACAUCGGAAUCUACUUUUUCGUGGGGGGUAACGUAGGGAAACUUACGCUAAUACCGCAUACGACCUACGGGCGAAAGCAGGGGAUCUUCGGACCUUGCGCGAUCGAAUGAGCCGAUGUCGGAUUAGCUAGUUGGCGGGGUAAAGGCCCACCAAGGCGACGAUCCGUAGCUGGUCUGAGAGGAUGAUCAGCCACACUGGAACUGAGACACGGUCCAGACUCCUACGGGAGGCAGCAGUGGGGAAUAUUGGACAAAGGGCGCAAGCCUGAUCCAGCCAUACCGCGUGGGUGAAGAAGGCCUUCGGGUUGUAAAGCCCUUUUGUUGGGGAAGAAAAGCAGCAGGUUAAUACCCCGCUGUUCUGACGGUACCCAAAGAAUAAGCACCGGCUAACUUCGUG